rnacentral:rRNA from 1 species
AGGAUGAACGCUGGCGGUCUGCUUAACACAUGCAAGUCGAACGGAGUAGCAAUACUUAGUGGCGGACGGGUGAGUAACGCGUGAGAAUCUACCUUCAGGACGGAGACAACAGUUGGAAACGACUGCUAACCCCCGAUGUACCGAAAGGGCAAAUAUUUAUGGCCUGAAGAAGAGCUCGCGUCCGAUUAGCUAGUUGGAGAGGUAAAAGCUCACCAAGGCGACGAUCGGUAGCUGGUCUGAGAGGACGAUCAGCCACACUGGGACUGAGACACGGCCCAGACUCCUACGGGAGGCAGCAGUAAGGAAUCUUCCACAAUGGGGGCAACCCUGAUGGAGCGACGCCGCGUGGACGAAGAAGCUUCUCGGAGUGUAAAGUCCUUUUCCCCGCGAUGAGAGGGACAGUAGCGGGGGAAUAAGGCCACGGCUAACUACGUGCCAGCAGCCGC